GACGAACGCUGGCGGCGUGCCUAAUACAUGCAAGUUGAGCGCUGAAGGUUGGUACUUGUACCAACUGGAUGAGCAGCGAACGGGUGAGUAACGCGUGGGGAAUCUGCCUUUGAGCGGGGGACAACAUUUGGAAACGAAUGCUAAUACCGCAUAAAAACUUUAAACACAAGUUUUAAGUUUGAAAGAUGCAAUUGCAUCACUCAAAGAUGAUCCCGCGUUGUAUUAGCUAGUUGGUGAGGUAAAGGCUCACCAAGGCGAUGAUACAUAGCCGACCUGAGAGGGUGAUCGGCCACAUUGGGACUGAGACACGGCCCCAACUUCUACGGGAGGCAGCAGUAGGGAAUCUUCGGCAAUGGACGAAAGUCUGACCGAGCAACGCCGCGUGAGUGAAGAAGGUUUUCGGAUCGUAAAACUCUGUUGGUAGAGAAGAACGUUGGUGAGAGUGGAAAGCUCAUCAAGUGACGGUAACUACCCAGAAAGGGACGGCUAACUACGUG
rnacentral:rRNA from 1 species